rnacentral:rRNA from 1 species
AAUCAACGCUGGCGGCGUGCCUAACACAUGCAAGUCGAACGGGAAAGUGGAGCAAUCCAUGAGUAUAGUGGCGACCGGGUGAGUAACACGUGACUAACCUACCUUCAAGUGGGGGAUAACCUCGGGAAACCGGGGCUAAUACCGCAUAACAUCUCUGUUAUGAGAAAGCAGAGAUCAAAGGAGUAAUUCGCUGGAAGAGGGGGUCGCGGCUGAUCAGCUAGUUGGUGGGGUAACGGCCCACCAAGGCUUUGAUCGGUAGCCGGCCUGAGAGGGCGCACGGCCACACUGGAACUGAACACGGUCCAGACUCCUACGGGAGGCAGCAGUGGGGAAUUUUGCGCAAUGGGGGAAACCCUGACGCAGCAACGCCGCGUGGAGGAUGAAGUCCCUUGGGACGUAAACUCCUUUCGACCGGGAAGAUUAUGACGGUACCGGUGGAAGAAGCCCCGGCUAACUUCGUGCCAGCCGCCGCGGUAAG